CACCAGUGGCGUAAGCGCCUUGCUGGACUGUAACUGACGCUGAGGGACGAAAGCCAGGGGAGCAAAUGGGAUUAGAUACCNCAGUAGUCCUGGCCGUAAACGAUGGAUACUAGGUGUCGCGGGUAUCGACCCCUGCGGUGCUGCAGCUAACGCAAUAAGUAUCCCGCCUGGGGAGUACGCACGCAAGUGUGAAACUCAAAGGAAUUGACGGGGACCCGCACAAGCGGUGGAACAUGUGGUUUAAUUCGAAGCAACGCGAAGAACCUUACCAGGGCUUGACAUCCCGAGAACUUUCCAGAGAUGGAUUGGUGCCCUUCGGGGAACUCGGUGACAGGUGGUGCACGGUUGUCGUCAGCUCGUGUCGUGAGAUGUUGGGUUAAGUCCCGCAACGAGCGCAACCCUCGUUGUUAGUUGCCAGUAAGAGCCUGCUCUUGCUGUGCUCUCUAGCGAGACUGCCGGUGAUAAACCGGAGGAAGGUGGGGACGACGUCAAAUCAUCAUGCCCCUUAUGUCCUGGGCUACACACGUGUUACAAUGGGUAGGACAGCGAGCAGCCAACCAGCAAUGGUGAGCAAAUCUCUUAAACCUACUCUCAGCUCGGAUCGCAGUCUGCAACUCGACUGCGUGAAGUCGGAAUCGCUAGUAACCGUAGAUCAGCACGCUGCGGUGAAUACGUUCCCGGGUCUUGUACACACUGCCCGUCACACCAUGGAAGCUGACCACGCCCGAAGUCGGUGAGCUAACUCUUUG
rnacentral:rRNA from 1 species